GACGUAGGGUGCAAGCGUUGUCCGGAUUUAUUGGGCGUAAAGAGCUCGUAGGCGGCUUGUUGCGUCGACUGUGAAAACCCGCGGCUUAACCGCGGGCUUGCAGUUGAUACGGGCAGGCUAGAGUUCGGUAGGGGAGACUGGAAUUCCUGGUGUAGCGGUGAAAUGCGCAGAUAUCAGGAGGAACACCGGCGGCGAAGGCGGGUCUCUGGGCCGAUACUGACGCUGAGGAGCGAAAGCGUGGGGAGCGAACAGG
rnacentral:rRNA from 1 species